UACGUAGGGUGCAAGCGUUGUCCGGAAUUAUUGGGCGUAAAGAGCUCGUAGGCGGUUUGUCGCGUCUGCUGUGAAAAACGCGGGGGCUCAACUCCGCGCCUGCAGUGGGUACGGGCAGACUAGAGUGCAGUAGGGGGAGACUGGAAUUCCUGGUGUAGCGGUGGAAUGCGCAGAUAUCAGGAGGAACACCGGUGGCGAAGGCGGGUCUCUGGGCAGUAACUGACGCUGAGGAGCGAAAGCGUGGGGAGCAAACAGG
rnacentral:rRNA from 1 species